UACGUAGGGUGCGAGCGUUGUCCGGAAUUAUUGGGCGUAAAGAGCUCGUAGGCGGUUUGUUGCGUCGGCCGUGAAAACUCAGGGCUUAACUCUGAGCCUGCGGUCGAUACGGGCAGACUUGAGUUCGGUAGGGGAGACUGGAAUUCCUGGUGUAGCGGUGAAAUGCGCAGAUAUCAGGAGGAACACCGGUGGCGAAGGCGGGUCUCUGGGCCGAUACUGAUGCUGAGGAGCGAAAGCGUGGGGAGCGAACAGG
rnacentral:rRNA from 1 species